rnacentral:lncRNA from 1 species
GCUGCUUCCCUGCCCUCUCACCAGCAUCAGACUUGAUUAAAUGAGACAGGGUCUCGCUAUGCUGGCCAGGCUGUUCUCAAAUUCCUGGGCUCAGGCGAUCUUCCUGCCUCAGCCUCCGGAGUUGCUGGGACCACAGACGUGGUCCAUGUGCGUUCACUUCUGAAGAUACAGGACUCUCUCUGCAGCCUGCAGUGAUACAGAGCUCCGUCUGCCUGGACACACCACACGGCCAUUUCUCACCUAGACUUUUGCCAUUCACCAGGCUCCUCCCAGGAAACUGAGACAGGGCCCCAUUCUCAUGACACCCCUGCUCUGCUCUCCUCCCAAGCUCAGGGCCACUCUCUAGUUGCAGAGAAAACGCUAGAGUUUUCUCUGGGAAACCUCAC